AACGAACGCUGGCGGCAUGCCUAACACAUGCAAGUCGAACGAGACCUUCGGGUCUAGUGGCGCACGGGUGCGUAACGCGUGGGAACCUGCCCUUAGGUUCGGAAUAACUCCCCGAAAGGGGUGCUAAUACCGGAUAAUGUCUUCGGACCAAAGAUUUAUCGCCUUUGGAUGGGCCCGCGUUGGAUUAGCUAGUUGGUAGGGUAAAAGCCUACCAAGGCGACGAUCCAUAGCUGGUCUGAGAGGAUGAUCAGCCACACUGGGACUGAGACACGCCCCAGACUCCUACGGGAGGCAGCAGUGGGGAAUAUUGGACAAUGGGCGAAAGCCUGAUCCAGCAAUGCCGCGUGAGUGAUGAAGGCCUUAGGGUUGUAAAGCUCUUUUAACCGGGAUGAUAAUGACAGUACCGGGAGAAUAAGCUCCGGCUAACUCCGUG
rnacentral:rRNA from 1 species